rnacentral:rRNA from 1 species
UACGUAGGGGGCAAGCGUUGUCCGGAUUUACUGGGCGUAAAGAGCGUGUAGGCGGCCACGCAGGUCCGUUGUGAAAACUGGAGGCUCAACCUCCAGCUGUCGACGGAAACCGUAUGGCUAGAGUCCGGAAGAGGAGAGUGGAAUUCCUGGUGUAGCGGUGAAAUGCGCAGAUAUCAGGAAGAACACCGGUGGCGAAGGCGGCUCUCUGGGCCUUACCUGACGCUGAGGAGCGAAAGCGUGGGUAGCGAACAGG